UGAAAUUAUAUUGAAAUUGCCUUUGAAACCGAGAUGAAGGAUGUCACUUUAAUUAUUAAGGCUGAUCAUUACUAAUUAAUGCACUCACUCAUUUGUCAGGUUUGCAGAACCUAUUGCUUUAUUGUGCAGACACGCUUCUCUAGGCAAGUGGUUAUGUCCUGUGCUGGGUAAAUUAUGAAAAUUACAGAAUUAUAGAAAAACAGCCAAUCAAUUCUACAGGCUGGCUACCCAACACAAUACACUGGAGUGAUGGCUGAUGACAAGCAUCAUUAACGAAUAAGGUAUGAGAUUUUUUUAAAUGUUUUCUCAUGAGAAAUUAAAGAAGCUUGGACGUAUUAGGAAAUGAUGCAGAUAUUCUAGGUUUCCUUAAUGUACAAACAAGAAUGAUAUUUUUAAAGAAAAAACAAACAAACAGGUAGCUGGCUAUGGUAAUGUGAGAAAGAGCUGUUAUAGACAAGGCUUGGAAUGAAGUAAUAAUCCAGGAUACUAUAACAUAGAAGAGGACAAUGUAUGGAGUAUACAUACUCAAAAGGAAUACAGUGAGAACUGAUUAUACACUGUCAUGACAACCUGAUCUUUGUCAGCCCUAUCCAACAUGCAAUAUUCUACAAAGAGAUAAGAACUGCUUGUUUAUUGAUAUGUAGGACUUAAGAUGUUAGUGCUGACUUCCUUAAAGGGACACUAUAGUUACCAGAACCACUACAGCUUAAUGUACUUUUUCUGGUGUCCAUGGCAUGUCCAUGCAGGCUUUUUAAUGUAAACACUGCCUUCUCAGAGAAAAGGCAAUGCUUACAUUGCUGAAUAAUAAUACCUUUAGUGGCAAUCAUUUAGACGGCCACAAGAGAUGAUUCCUAGUCCAGGGCUGCACAGUGACGGCCAGCCAAUUCACUGCAUUUCUAUGAGUAGAUGCUGAUUGGUGCAGUGUGCAUACACAGUGCCCUCCCAAUGCUCUCCUAUGGGAAAGCAUUGGAUUUGCUGAGGUCAUCAAGUUUGAUGAUCUCAGCCAUGGAGACAGGGCCCACCGCAGCAAAACCAGGUACAGCAUAGGAAAAAAGGUGCGUUUAAACACAUUUUUACUGCACAGAGGUGAGCUAGAUACCCAAAUAGUUAGUUUGACACUAUAGUCUCAGGAAUACAUGUUUGUGUUCCUUUAAGGUCCACCUAGUUGUGAUGCAGUCGUCUGUUAUUAGUCCUUAAUGAGUUAAAAGAAGAAAAUUCUAAGAGUCUCUGCCCAGUCAUGUCUUAUAUAUUAAUCAUGGAUCAUUUUUUUUCCUCUGGCUUUACACAGAUAAAAUACUGUCCAGUUUAAUAAUAGAUUAAAUAUAACUAAUGGGUUUGUAUUACAUAUAGUGUAUUUGGGGGCACACACAAUUAAGGUAUACAUGGUGUACUAAAUAAUUCACAUAUGAUUUAUUACACAGAAUAACAUCUACUCACAAUCUUCCAAAUAUACUUAGUAGGUUCAAAGAGACAUAUUUAUUUAUUCUGUAUGACAUGACAUAACAGUUCCUGUGCACUGACUGCUUCCUGUAUUGUGACAAUAUGCACACAGUAAGUAGAUGAGUGUAUUCAUAAAUGCACUGAAAUGUUUGCACCCAGCAAACUCUUUUUUUUUUUUGUCUAUGAAUUAUAGAGAAAGUGUUUCCUGCCAUAUGGACACUGCCAAUCAAAUGCAAAUGCAUGCAGAGGAACCCACAGAACAUCCUGGAGAGAAUCAAUUACCUCCAGAAACUGUCCCACUCCAGG